rnacentral:rRNA from 1 species
UUGAAAGGGAAACGAUUGAAGUCAGUCGUACCGGCGGAUAAUCAACCUUUCGGCGUGAUUAUGUGGAGCGUGGGGAGUUAAUCACUUUCAUGCCUGCAUAUUCGUGUAUUUUGGGUGUACUUAUCUGUAUGGUAGGUUAACAUCAAUUUUGGUCGUUAUAAAAUGACUGGGGAAAUGUGGCUUUGAUUUCGUAUUGAAGUGUUAUAGUCUCUGGUAGAUAUAGUGACCGGGAUUGAGGAUUGCAACGGAUACCCUUUCGGAGCUACUCGUCUGAUCUCUGAUCGUUACUCUGGUGCUGAAAGCUUGCUUACGGUUAUCAAAGUUGAUGGUUAAUAAGUUAGAACGGGUUAAAUUCGUUAAGGAUGUUGACGUA